rnacentral:pre_miRNA from 2 species
GUUCUUCCAGAGCGUGGAAGUGAUGACGGGUAAGGGAAGAGGGUGGUAUUUUCCGUUUUGCUGUAAUGACCUCCGCCUUCUUUUGCAGGCGACCACUUCCGGCUGGAGCACA